rnacentral:tRNA from 1 species
UGGGGUAUAGCUCAGUGGUAGAGCAUUUGACUGCAGAUCAAAAGGUCCUCAGUUCAAAUCUGGGUGCCCCCU